rnacentral:rRNA from 1 species
AUGAACGCUGGCGGCGUGCCUAAUACAUGCAAGUCGAGCGAACAGAUGAGGAGCUUGCUCCUCUGACGUUAGCGGCGGACGGGUGAGUAACACGUGGAUAACCUACCUAUAAGACUGGGAUAACUUCGGGAAACCGGAGCUAAUACCGGAUAAUAUAUUGAACCGCAUGGUUCAAUAGUGAAAGACGGUUUUGCUGUCACUUAUAGAUGGAUCCGCGCCGCAUUAGCUAGUUGGUAAGGUAACGGCUUACCAAGGCAACGAUGCGUAGCCGACCUGAGAGGGUGAUCGGCCACACUGGAACUGAGACACGGUCCAGACUCCUACGGGAGGCAGCAGUAGGGAAUCUUCCGCAAUGGGCGAAAGCCUGACGGAGCAACGCCGCGUGAGUGAUGAAGGUCUUCGGAUCGUAAAACUCUGUUAUCAGGGAAGAACAAAUGUGUAAGUAACUAUGCACGUCUUGACGGUACCUAAUCAGAAAGCCACGGCUAACUACGUG